rnacentral:lncRNA from 1 species
AUAAAUUGGACUGUAAGAGGGGAAAAAAAUCCCUCAGCAACUCAGCCACCAGGAAGAUGAUGGAAAGUGUCUGUCAGUCGUUUAAAAGCGAGAAAAGAAAUACCUCAGCCGCCUCCCAAGAUGCACGAAGCCUCCAGGAGUAUCAGCCAACCUGGGCUUUCUGCAUGGAAAACAAAGCUGCCUAAAUGGAUGUGAAUCAUGGCAAUACAGUGAAAGACGGUGAUGUACUGCUUUUGAGGGCAUGCAUGUAUAUGAUUAACGGAUGGAAGUGCAGGACUCCAAGAUUUACUUCUUUCCCUUUCCAGCAGAGUUACCUGAGAGGAGUAUCACUGGAUGGGACCGAACAGGAGAGGAUUAAAAAGUGGCAGAUACUGUGUGAUGGCUCAGAAGCAGUGUUGGUGAGCUUACUAGUCAUCUCCUGGCAAGUCCAUGACAUUUGCUUAUGACGAUGGGAGUGUGUGGG